GACGGGGGAUGCAAGUGUUAUCCGGAAUCACUGGGCGUAAAGCGUCUGCAGGUGGUUUCCUAAGUCCACUGUUAAAUCUUGAGGCUCAACCUCAAAAUCGCAGUCGAAACUAUUCGACUAGAGUAUAGUAGGGGUAAAGGGAAUUUCCAGUGGAGCGGUGAAAUGCGUAGAGAUUGGAAAGAACACCGAUGGCGAAGGCACUUUACUGGGCUAUUACUAACACUGAGAGACGAAAGCUAGGGUAGCAAAUGGG
rnacentral:rRNA from 1 species